rnacentral:lncRNA from 1 species
UUCUCUAAACUGAUUCUUAAAUUUUUUAAAUUAUUAGGUCCAUAAAAUGAGCUAGUUAUGAGGAUAACUAGAUCAUAGUCUCUUAUUAAGGUGAAUGAUAAUGGGUUCAUUAUUUUUGAUUGAUAUUGCAGGCACCAUCAGUCUGAUAUUCUCUCUAAAUGAUGGAAUUACGUUCAUCAUAUGAUGAUUUUAUUGUACUAUCUGAUGA